AUGCUCCGCGAACCAGGAGUGCGCACGCGUGUCGCUGGCGGAGGGGAACCAGCCGCACCGACAGCGCGGUCGAGUUGGGGGAGCAGUGGGCGGGUGGGUCCGGCAACUCCCUCGGAGUCAGGCGCAGGCCGACUGGCGGCUGCAGAGAAUCCAACAGCGGCGUGCGGAGGCAGUUCUCGCGGGUCCGUGAAGGAGGUUGACAGCUCCAGCGGACGCCUGUCAGCUUUAAGGAAAAGUAGAAAUCACUUCUGACUAUACUGAGUAGCAAGUGAGUUCCUACACUGCAGAUCAUGGCACUACCAUUCCGCAAGGACUUAGAAAAAUACAAGGACCUGGAUGAAGAUGAGCUUCUUGAAAAUCUGUCAGAAAUAGAACUGAAACAACUAGAAACUGUUCUGGAUGAUCUUGACCCUGAGAAUGCCCUUCUGCCUGCAGGGUUCCGGCAAAAAAAUCAGACGUCAAAGUCUGCCACAGGACCUUUUGAUAGAGAACACCUCCUUUCAUAUCUGGAGAAGGAAGCAUUGGAGCAAAAGGACAGGGAAGACUAUGUGCCCUACACUGGAGAAAAAAAAGGAAAAAUAUUUAUCCCCAAACAGAAACCUGUACAGACUUUGACAGAGGAAAGUGUAUCUGUUGAUCCAGAAUUAGAAGAAGCUUUGAUGAGUGCUUCUGAUACAGAAUUGUGUGACCUUGCAGCUAUUCUUGGGAUGCAUAAUUUGAUAACAAAUACACAAUUUUGUGAUAUAGUGGGAAGUAGUAAUGGUGUUGAUAAAGGACAUUUUUCAAAUGUAGUGAAAGGUGAAAAGAUUCUUCCAGCAUUUGAUGAGCCACCAAAUCCAACCAACGUUGAAGAGAGUUUAAAGAGAAUUAAAGAAAACGAUGCUCAUCUUGUUGAAGUUAAUUUGAAUAACAUAAAGAAUAUCCCAAUUCCAACCCUAAAAGACUUUGCAAAGGCUUUGGAAACCAAUACACAUGUGAAAUAUUUCAGUCUUGCAGCCACCCGAAGCAAUGAUCCUGUUGCUGUUGCUUUUGCAGAUAUGCUGAAAGUAAACAAAACUUUGAAGAGCUUAAAUAUGGAGUCCAACUUCAUUACAGGAGCUGGGGUUCUGGCACUGAUUGAUGGUUUAAGAGAUAAUGAAACCCUGGCAGAGCUUAAAAUUGACAAUCAGAGGCAACAGUUGGGAACAGCUGUAGAAUUGGAAAUAGCCAAGAUGCUUGAGGAAAAUGCAAAUAUCCUUAAAUUUGGGUAUCAGUUUACACAGCAAGGACCCCGAACCAGGGCAGCUAAUGCUAUAACAAAAAACAACGACUUAGUCACAACUAUUCAUUGAAAUAAUUCUACCUACUCACCAUCUCUCCGUCUAAGAAGUGUCACAGAUAUAAAAGCAAAGAGGUUAUAUGUGCGAAAAAAACGAGUUGAAGGAGACCACCAGUAAGUCCAACAAAGUAUAAUCUUUGGAAGACUUCAGAACUUUACCAAGGGCUCAUGUUGGUGACAUCAGAUGUAAAAUUUUUCUGGGUAGAAGGGAAAAGACUGGAAAUCUUUUUGUUUGUUUGUUUGUUUAGCUUUUUUGUUAGCUAUAUGCAUUAUUUUCCUAGUUUAAGUUGUUAUCAGUUUAAAAUUAUAAAAUCAAUAGUAUCUGGUAUUUUAUAUUUUGAAGCAUUUCCACUUUCUACUAAAAUCAGUUUUAAUUUAGCUUAAUUAAAUGACUUAUAAUGAGUCUUGGGCAAAAAACAAUACGAUUAUAAAUAAGUUUCAGAAGUCAUUUAUGUAGAAUAAUUUGAGGACCAAUUUUUUAAAUUAAAAAGGGACAUUGCUGAUAUCAAUUGCUCCUUCGAGGUAUAAGGCACUUAGAAGUUUUCUUUGUUUUGUAACCUGGAUACUUUUCCAUUUUUUAAGAAUAAAUGAACUUGGCAAGGGUAUAUUUUUUCCUUAUCAAGGAAUCAAAAUGCAAUGAUUUUUAAACAGAUGGCUCAAAAUCUGGUGAAGUGUUCAGAAGCCAAAGCAGACCUCCAGGGAGAGACCUUCAUGCAGUGCAGGUUACUGUGCUUGUCUGGUGCAGCUCAGCAACAUCUAGGGAUUUGUUUUUUAAACAAAAUCAUCAGCUGAUCCAGGUUAUAUGCUUUGUUUAAAAAUAUAGUAUGUCUAAGUAUUUUUAAUUGGUUCAUUUUAGUUAUAAAUGACAGUAGAAUUUGUUUUGACAUAAUGAAAGCAUGGAAUAUAUCAUGUUCUGGUGAAGACCCCAGUACCUCUUUUUCCCCUUCCCUUUUCCUACCCCCAGCUUCUUUCCCUCUAUUGAUCUUUCUGCCAUUUACCCAGUUAUUAUUUCUUAAUUAAUUCUUUGUGGAUGUACUUGAUGGUAAGAUUCACUAUGGUAUAUUCAUGUAUGUGCAUAGGAAAUUUAUGUCAGAUUGAUUCCACUGUCUUUCCUUUUCCCAUUCUCCCUUCAACCCCCAUUUAUGUCUAUGUUUAUUACAGUUUUUCAUUUUAAUGUGGGCAUUAUUAAAUUUUUAUGAAAGCUAAUGGUAAAAAAACAUCUGAGUAGAAAAGUUGUUUUCUUCCCCCAUAAAAAGGCACACAGCCAACUCUCAGUUAUUUAGGAUAAAAUAAAAAAGAAAGCUGCUGCUAAACAUGUGAAAUCAUAGGUAACAUGAUGGAGUUCAGGUUUGAGGAACUUGCAAAACAGCCACUUAAACUGAUGGUUACUAUAAGGAAGUUAGAAACUGGGAUGUGUGUAAAUUACUUGGUAUUGUGCUGUAUGCCAAGAAGUUCCAUAUGCAGCGCAGAAUGGCAUAGACAAUAUUUAAUCCCCACUACACACUUUCCAGCCAAAAAAGAGAAGUGCUGAUCUUCAGAAUCUGAUACUAUUAUAUGCUUCCUUUCAUCUUGCACUUUUUCCAUAUUGUAUAAAAAUAUUUUCUAUAACAAAAGUGGUCUUUAUUGCUCAGAGUAUUGAGGUGAGUGCUUGAACAGAGUCUUGUGGCGAGAGGACAAGUGUGACACUGCACACCCCAGCUGUGCUACAGGGUUUGAUUUUGCAUUCAUGUCCUGUCCCAUAGCAGCUCUUUAGCAGGAGAUAGCAGACGCACUCACAUCUACAGAAGACUGGGAAGAAGGGGAUCAGAAAAAAUACUGGCCUCAUAAGGCCUACCUGGAUCAUUUACAAAAAGAUAUUUCUGAGUAAGGGGAAGGUAGUUUGUCAUGGUUAGUUUUUUAAAAACCUUUUGAAGUUGAAUCACAAAAUGUCUACUAUUUUGGCUGCUAGACAAUUUAUCCCAUGAUCUAGGCAGCAGCUUGUGUACUAUAGUAAUAAGCCUUCUUAACAGGCUAAAGCUUCCCUCAUAGGAACUGUGGUGUGUUUGCUUUUUGAAAAAUCAAUAUCCAGUAUUUCAGAGGGGCCAAAGAUUAACUUUGCACUAUUCCCUUUCAGUUAAAAGCCACUGAUUUUUUUUUUCCAAGUUAGAAAGGCUUCACUUGCUUGCUUUCUCACCUGACUGCCUCCCCCAACACCAGCCUCUACUGUCUCUCCCUCUCCUCUUCCCCUCCCUUCUUCCUUCUUUACAUAUACAACUUUUGAAUUGUACUUGAUUUUAUAAACUGUGCAAUUCCAGCAAGAUUUGGAGUCAGGCAUGGAGCAGGUAUCUAAGGCUACCACAAAGAAUUGAUCACUUAAACUUCUAGCCAGGCUUCCUCAUUUGCAUUGCCCUGUUAAGUCAGUUAAUAAGUGUGCUCCCCUCUCUCCCAUUUGGUGGUUUUUUUUUUCCUAAAUAUUGUUAAGG